rnacentral:lncRNA from 1 species
UUUUCAUCUUUUUUUCAUCGUCCAAAAUGAAAUGAACCUGUAGAAAAUAAAAUAAAUGCAUGUAAAAUUAAAUAAAUUCGAAUAAAAUAAAAUAGAUCUAUGAAAAAUGAAUAAGUGAGUACAUAGUUAUAACGGAGCUCAUCGAAUCAAUAUUUUAUACAGUGCAACCAAUUAUGUAUUAAAACAUUUUAUAUUCUACAAAUUUUCACAAAUCAUGAAUUCUGGACCACGGAUAUUUUUUUUAUUUUUUUAUUUUUAUACAUCCCUGAAUGCUCUUCACAAUGUUACACCCACCCCGUUAAUUUAAAAUUGUGAAGAUUUUCAAGUUUUCAUGAAUUUCCCUAAUAAGUACACAACAGUACUGGCAAACUCUCAACCUCGGAUCAUAGAUGCUUUCUUGCUUUUCUUUGCCCGUAACUAUUCAUUUCUACAUCAGUCGCGCCUCAUAAACCUCAGAUUACGAGGACUUUCACGCUUCCAUGAAAAGUAGUAGAUGAACUCGCUUUCCCCUAUAAAUCGCGUAUCAUGUAAAUCAUAAUAGAACAAAGUUACACAACCCCAGUCCCUUCCUCCAACAACAAUCCGCACAAUAUUUCCUUACUUCUUCUCAUUCCCAAACACUCAACACAACAUUACAUGCACUCAGCCAACUUCAAAUUACGAAGAUUCUCAGGUUCAUAUGAAUUUUCUCAACAAGUACACAACAAUACUAGCAAACUAUGAACCUCGGAUCAUAGAUGCUUUCUCACUUUUUUUUGCCCCUAACCAUUCAAUUCCACAUUACUCGCGCCUCAUAAAUCUCAGAUUAUAAGGGCUUUCACGCUUUCAUGAAAAGUAAUAGAUGAACUCGCUUUCUCCUAUAAAUUGCGUAUUAUGUAAAUCAUAAUAGAACAAAGUUACACAAUCUCAGUCCCCUCCUUCAACAAUAAUCUACACACUAUUUCCUUACUUCUACUCAUCUCCAAACAGUCAACACAACAUUACACGUACUCGGCCAACAGCUAGAACAAAGAUUUGAUCCAAAUAGAGAAGGUGCAGUAAUGAACACGGAGGUGGCACGACCAGAGGCCGAGCAAUAUAGAGAAGAUGAGACUAGAGUAAAUUGAGUCAAUUAGGAGAAGGAGAAUGAUCAGGGGAGAGAAGAAUCCGAUCUGGCAAAAUCAGCAUCCACAAUGGAAAAAUAGGCGAGAGAAAGAGAGGUGGAAGGGGUCGGAAGCAGGGAGCGGCGAGGGACGACUAGGGGGCGAUCAACAGGAAGAACGAGACAAGGAGAACAUGACCACCGUAGAGAUAAAUCCUCAACUCAGAGGGACAAGAAGAAGGAGGAAGGAAUAAUCCAACAGAGGUAGGAGGUUUAAAGAAAAAAAGGGUAAGUAGGGCAAGCAGUGCCAAACAGAAGACAAUGUGUGUACGUGAGGAUACAGUUGGAAGAAGAGAGAUCUCACAAAGAAUAGCCCUGCAUGCAAUAGUUAGUGGGGCGAUCAUCAAAAGUUCUCUCUCACACACACACACACACACGCAGCGAUGGUGAUGACGACAAUGAUUGGGAAGGACGAGUAUCUCCCCCUCCCACACUUCAUACCCUGCCAUCCCUAUCUCCCCUCCCCCAUCAUACCCACCUUUCAAAAUACCCUGAUUGACCCCCUACCCUGAUCAUCGGGGUUUGUCUCUCCAUGCCACACACUCAUGCCUCUUACCUCCACCACCACCACAACUCAAAUGCCAAUUAUGACUCAAAUGCCAAUUACUUCCCGCUGCC